rnacentral:rRNA from 1 species
UACGUAGGGUGCGAGCGUUAAUCGGAAUUACUGGGCGUAAAGGGUGCGCAGGCGGUUUUGUAAGCCAGAUGUGAAAUCCCCGGGCUUAACCUGGGAACUGCAUUUGUGGCUGCAUGGCUGGAGUGCGGCAGAGGGGGAUGGAAUUCCGCGUGUAGCAGUGAAAUGCGUAGAUAUGCGGAGGAACACCGAUGGCGAAGGCAAUCCCCUGGGCCUGCACUGACGCUCAUGCACGAAGGCCAGGGGAGCAAACGGG